UUUAAACCGUUGAAGAGGCUAGUAACAAUUGUUAAUUUUUUAGAGAGUCGAUGUUUGGUGUAAAUCGAUAUUUUACAUUUGUGAAUCCACCUUGGAGGGGCUGUGAUGAGCAGUACGGCGGAAGUCGUUAAAUUUUUUAACUGAGAGAAUGAUGCAAAUUGCAUCAUUAAUUAGGGUGGCAACGCGGAGUCUUUCGUCCCUAUU
rnacentral:ncRNA from 1 species